rnacentral:tRNA from 1 species
UCUGGGGUAGUUGAGUUGGUACAACACCGUACUGUUAAUACGGAUAUCGCUGGUUCGAUCCCAGCCCCCAGAGCCA